AUUGAACGCUGGCGGCAUGCCUUACACAUGCAAGUCGAACGGCAGCGGGGGAGAAGCUUGCUUUUCCUGCCGGCGAGUGGCGUACGGGUGAGUAAUACAUCGGAACGUGCCCUGUAGCGGGGGAUAACUAGUCGAAAGAUUAGCUAAUACCGCAUACGACCUGAGGGUGAAAGUGGGGGACCGCAAGGCCUCAUGCUAUAGGAGCGGCCGAUGUCUGAUUAGCUAGUUGGUGGGGUAAAGGCCUACCAAGGCUACGCUCAGUAGCUGGUCUGAGAGUAGGAUCAGCCACACUGGGACUGAGACACGGGCCGGACUCCUACGGGAGGGAGCAGUGGGGAAUGUUGGACAAUGGGCGAAAGCCUGACCCAGCAAUGCCGCGUGUGUGAAGAAGGCCUUCGGGUUGUAAAGCACUUUUGUCCGGAAAGAAAUGGCUCUGGUUAAUACCUGGGGUCGAUGACGGUACCGGAAGAAUAAGGACCGGCUAACUACGUGCCAGCCGCCGCCGUAA
rnacentral:rRNA from 1 species